rnacentral:rRNA from 1 species
GACGAACGCUGGCGGCGUGCUUAACACAUGCAAGUCGAACGAAGAGCGACGGGAGUUUGCUUCUAUUAAACUUAGUAGCGAACGGGUGAGACAUGCGUAAUCUACCCUCCCUUUCGAGGUGGACAACAGUUGGUAACGCUUGUUAAUAACACAACCGAUCUAACCUUGGCAUCGAGGAUAGAUUUUAGGUGGCCUAUACAUGUACGCCAUCUCUGCAGGUUGGGAUUGCGUCUGACUAGCAAGUUGGAGGGGUAUCGCCCCUCCAAGGUGAUGUUCAGUAGCCGGUCUGAGAGGAUGAGCGGCCACAUUGGGACUGAGACACGCCCCAGACUCCUACGGGAGGCAGCAGUGGGGAUUCUGCCGCAAGGGGCGAAAGUCUGACGGAGCAACGCGGAGUGAGUGAGGACGGCCUUCGGGUUGUAGAGCUCUGUUAUUCGGGACGAAAGGCCUUCUGGCGAAUAGGGAGAAGGAGUGACGGUACCGGAAUAGAAAGCCACGGCUAACUACGUG